CCUGGUGACUAUUGCGGAAGGGUCACACCCGAUCCCAUCCCGAACUCGGUCGUUAAGCCUUCCUGCGCCGAUGGUACUGCAGGGGAGUCUCUGUGGGAGAGUAGGUCGUUGCCAGGG
rnacentral:rRNA from 1 species